UCUUCAUUUUACGAGCUCUCUCACCGGGCAAAGUGGCGAGAAAGUGUGUAAAAUGAAGAGA
rnacentral:pre_miRNA from 1 species